AGCGGCGGACGGGUGAGUAACACGUGGGUAACCUGCCUGUAAGACUGGGAUAACUCCGGGAAACCGGGGCUAAUACCGGAUGCUUGUUUGAACCGCAUGGUUCAAACAUAAAAGGUGGCUUCGGCUACCACUUACAGAUGGACCCGCGGCGCAUUAGCUAGUUGGUGAGGUAAUGGCUCACCAAGGCAACGAUGCGUAGCCGACCUGAGAGGGUGAUCGGCCACACUGGGACUGAGACACGGCCCAGACUCCUACGGGAGGCAGCAGUAGGGAAUCUUCCGCAAUGGACGAAAGUCUGACGGAGCAACGCCGCGUGAGUGAUGAAGGUUUUCGGAUCGUAAAGCUCUGUUGUUAGGGAAGAACAAGUACCGUUCGAAUAGGGCGGUACCUUGACGGUACCUAACCAGAAAGCCACGGCUAACUACGUGCCAGCAGCCGCGGUAAUACGUAGGUGGCAAGCGUUGUCCGGAAUUAUUGGGCGUAAAGGGCUCGCAGGCGGUUCCUUAAGUCUGAUGUGAAAGCCCCCGGC
rnacentral:rRNA from 1 species